CCUAACCAAAAUAUUAGCACAUCGUCAAAGUAGCGAAACUAUUUAAAAAUUGAUGAAGUGUACAUGGCAUAGAUACUGGUAAACACUAUUACACAAUUACAGUAGCCAAUCAAAAUAUAAUACAAUGUGAAACACUCCCACACAAACAGUAAAAUCACUCCCCUCUAUCCUGGACAUAUUUGUCUUAAGUGGCUGUAAUAAAC